CCUACGGGUGGCAGCAGUGGGGGAUAUUGCACAAUGGGGGAAACCCUGAUGCAGCGACGCCGCGUGGGUGAAGAAGCGCCUCGGCGCGUAAAGCCCUGUCAGCAGGGAAGAAAAUGACGGUACCUGAAGAAGAAGCCCCGGCUAACUACGUGCCAGCAGCCGCGGUAAUACGUAGGGGGCAAGCGUUAUCCGGAUUUACUGGGUGUAAAGGGGGCGCAGACGGCGAGGCAAGCCAGGAGUGAAAGCCCGGGGCCCAACCCCGGGACUGCUCUUGGGACUGCGUGGCGAGAGUGCAGGAGGGGGAGGCGGAAUUCCUGGUGGAGCGGUGAAAUGCGUAGAUAUCAGGAGGAACACCGGUGGUGAAGGCGGCCUGCUGGACUGCAACUGACGUUGAGGCCCGAAAGCGUGGGGAGCAAACAGGAUUAGAUACCCCGGUAGUC
rnacentral:rRNA from 1 species